CUGCGGUGAAUACGUUCCCGGGCCUUGUACACACCGCCCGUCAAGCCAUGGAAGCUGGGGGUACCUGAAGUACGUAACCGCAAGGAGCGUCCUAGGGUAAAACCGGUAACUGGGGCU
rnacentral:rRNA from 1 species